UCGGAUUGAAGGCUGAAAUUCGCCUUCAUGAAGCUGGAAUUGCUAGUAAUGGCAGGUCAGCAUACUGCCGUGAAUACGUUCCCGGGCCUUGUACACACCGCCCGUCACACCAUGAGAGUUGGGAAUACCCGAAGCCUGUGAGCUAACUUUUAGAGGCAGCAGUCGAAGGUAGAAUCAAUGAUUGGGGUGAAGUCGUAACAAGGUAUC
rnacentral:rRNA from 1 species